rnacentral:rRNA from 1 species
CAGCCGCCGCGGUAACACAGAGGGUGCGAGCGUUAAUCGGAUUUACUGGGCGUAAAGCGUGCGUAGGCGGCUAAUUGAGUCGGAUGUGAAAUCCCCGAGCUUAACUUGGGAAUUGCAUUCGAUACUGGUUAGCUAGAGUGUGGGAGAGGAUGGUAGAAUUCCAGGUGUAGCGGUGAAAUGCGUAGAGAUCUGGAGGAAUACCGAUGGCGAAGGCAGCCAUCUGGCCUAACACUGACGCUGAGGUACGAAAGCAUGGGGAGCAAACAGGAUUAGAUACCCCAGUAGUCCCUGUCUCUUAUAC